AGGCCGAUCGGGGCGUUGGCGCUAAGUAUAGGUCGGUCUAUGUCUCCGUGUCCGGUACGCGCGCGAUCGUGCGGAAAGGCAGCCCCGCCGUCCACCCCCCAAGUGCUCCCGCCCGGAGCCCGGACGGUCCUCUCAAGCGUGGCGCGGCACCCCAAGCCGCCGAGAUGUAUUCGGAUAUCCUUGACUAUGAGUACUUGUGUUGAUUCCUUCGGCGGACCUGUCCGCCGAUUGGAACCCCCUCGAACCCUUUUGCAAUCAGCAUCAAUCCUUCUGAUACAAACGUAAAUCGUUACAACUUUCAACAAUGGAUCUCUUGGUUCUGGCAUCGAUGAAGAACGCAGCGAAAUGCGAUAAGUAGUGUGAAUUGCAGAAUUCAGUGAAUCAUCGAAUCUUUGAACGCACAUUGCGCCCCUUGGUAUUCCAUGGGGCAUGCCUGUUCGAGCGUCAUUUACCCCCUCAAGCUCUGCUUGGUGUUGGGCGUCUGUCCCGCCGCACGCGCGCGGACUCGCCCCAAAAGCAUUGGCAGCGGUCGUGCCAGCCUCUCGCGCAGCAGUUUGCGCUCGGUGAGGUCUUUAGGCGGA
rnacentral:rRNA from 1 species